CCCUAGCCCUGAUUGGAGCGGCAUCCUUUUGCGGAGCGCAGCAUAGCAAAAGAUACAGCGGAAACCUAGCGAAGUG
rnacentral:sRNA from 1 species